UCUCCACUCCGCCGCCGCCGCACUCCAGCUACCCCGUCUUCGACCCAACCCUCAACACUGCCCCAGCAGCACCGGUCGCGGCCUUCGUCGUACCAGUCCGCCGCUCCACCUGCUCGCCUACUGUCCCUUCGUCCUCACCGGUGGAGCGACCCAGCCGUGUCCUCGUCGGCGCCUGUGCGCGUCCGCCUCACGGCACGCCCGAGCGCCCCGUCCUUGAGUCGUCACCACCUGGGAAAGCAGCGACGAUCCGCCUCACCAAGAUGACAACGACUGCCUCAAGUUGGGGGGACACAUCCAGUUGGUGAUAGACCAAGGGAGACGUUGCUCCAUGAACAUGGGAGUACAAACAGGAGCAGGUGGAUAAACACUCCACGGAGCUCACCAGAAUAAAAAUAGGGGAAGAAACUGAAUCUGGGGAAGACAUUGUUAAUAUCAUCAGGUUGUCAUGCUUAAGUACAGAUACAGUUAGAUGUGAAGCUCCAAAACAGGGUUUAUAAUCACUCGGUCGUUUCUGUUUCUUUAUUAUGUUAUCAUGAUAAGACCAGAUACAGUUAGAUAUGAAGCUGUUUGUUUGUCGCCCUUUAUGUUAAUGUGAUAUUCAGUAGGGUAGCUCUUUAAUUUAUAUUUUUCUUUCUCUUAGGCAGCAAUGAUGCUCCUUAUAUUGAUGUGAUAUUCUACCAUGUUUUAUCCUAUACAUUGCAAUGCCAUUCUGUAUUUAGUAUGCUCAGGAUCAUUUGAUCUGUCUUGUGCUUGUGUUUUCUUUGUUGGUUCAGUCUUAAUGGUACUUAUCCUUAUAGUUCCUUGGGAUUUUUGUCUAUCAUACCUUUUGACCUUUCAUUACGUUAGUAUUUUUGACUUAUUCGGCAGUUACAUUGCAAGUUCAAGGAAUAUCAUUGGCACAGCAGAGAGGUUGCAAACAAGAAGUUGAGUUUAUCACCUGGUGGCAUUAAAAUGUAUCAUUAUUCCUCCAGAUGAAGAGACAGAAAAUAGCCUUUGCAAAGGAUAAGAGGGCGACAACAGAAUUAAGAUUGCUUUGUGUGUUUGUUGAGUUGGCCUUGAGCUGCUGGGUGGAGGUAUGAUUUUUUGCUUAAUUGCCAAGUGCAUGAAUUGAUUGCCGUGUGUUCUUUUAGUUUCGUGCUUGGAAAUUAAUCAAUUGGUACAAGUUUUAAACUAGCUGCUAAAAAUAUAUUGUUUUAGUUGUAUGUCAACCAGCCAUCACACAUAAAGACGGUUAUGAUUUUGAGUACCCGUUUGAAAACUAAUUUGUUUUGAAAUGUUGGAAUGGAGACCAGGAACACAACACUCAACAAGUGGUCUGAUGUUGAAUUUAGUUGUCCAUUGCCUCCGGCGAAUGUCAUCUCCCAGCUCGUGGCCUUGCCCCCCUAGUAUUUUUCAUACUAUACUAAGCUGCAAAAGCUAUUUUGUUGAUUUUUUUAACUAAUGACAAUACUUCAAAGAGAAGUAAUUAUAAUAAGAUUGUUCCUUCAUGUUUUUCUUUUCAAAAAGUAGCCUCCAUGCUUCUUAAAUCUGGGUACUGUUUUGUACAGAAGCUUUUGUCUAUAGAGAAGGACAUCUGUUUCUGGUACAUACUAUUAAAACUUAUGAGCAAGUUUGCUGCAAUGAUGUUCCACAUAUAUGGUUUGCAGCUCCAUCAAUUAAAUUUGGUGUCAACUUUGUGUACAAUUCUGCGACUUAUAGUUUCACCUAGUUAUUAUGUGAUGGAUUUAGAGGGAUGGAGGUAAGGUUUGGCCAAGUUAAUUUGAGAAACUAAGAUGCCAAAUAGGUUCUUACUAUAUCACAGAUCAAUGGUCCUAGUUCUUGCAAUCGUACUUUUGCAAUUGACAUUUGACAUAAAAUGUACAACCUCAACGAGUCCUUUCUUUAACAGAUUGAUGAGUCUUUUUGGUGCAGGCUAAUCUGGAUAAGAAGCCAAUUCAAGCUGUAAUUGAGUAACAAAUGAGGUCAUGUUUUUCAUAUGUAGUUGACGAACUUAUGUGUUAUUAGAUGUGCUCUUCCUGCUUUGUUGUAUGCAAAUUAGACGGAUUUGUAUACAAAGUACAUGUGAUUUAUUAAAACUAUGAUUAAUGUAACCUAUUAA